GACGAACGCUGGCGGCGUGCUUAACACAUGCAAGUCGAACGGAAAGGCCCUGCUUUUGUGGGGUGCUCGAGUGGCGAACGGGUGAGUAACACGUGAGUAACCUGCCCUUGACUUUGGGAUAACUUCAGGAAACUGGGGCUAAUACCGGAUAGGAGCUCCUGCUGCAUGGUGGGGGUUGGAAAGUUUCGGCGGUUGGGGAUGGACUCGCGGCUUAUCAGCUUGUUGGUGGGGUAGUGGCUUACCAAGGCUUUGACGGGUAGCCGGCCUGAGAGGGUGACCGGCCACAUGGGGACUGAGAUACGGACCAGACGCCUACGGGAGGCAGCAGGGGGGAAUAUUGCACAAUGGGCGGAAGCCUGAUGCAGCAACGCCGCGUGCGGGAUGACGGCCUUCGGGUUGUAAACCGCUUUCGACUGUGACGAAGCGCGAGUGACGGUAAUGGGUAAAGAAGCACCGGCUAACUACGUG
rnacentral:rRNA from 1 species